UGCCAGGUGCUCAGUUCAAGGCUGUUUACGUGCCAAGUUUUGGAUCUCAAUCCUCACGAUGUAGUCAAAAAGAUGGACAGCAAACGAAUGAGUACUUGAUCGAGUUGUCCAGCUCACGGAGAAGACAAGAUACAUUGUCAACAAAAAAGAUCAAAUUAACGAAGUGUAACAGCAAGCCUGCACUGUCCAAGAAGAAACGAAAGGAUGAGAGAAGGUCGAUGCCUCCACCACGACCCGUGAUAGAGAGAAUGACAGCUGCCCGAUGUCAAGGUGAAGGAGAGAGAUCACAGAGACGGAGAAGUCCUCGCGUUGGCCAAAUAUGCACUCCUCAGAGCAUGAUGAAUGAAGACCUCUUCUCCUUCUACCAGAGAGACGAGCACACGUCAACCAACCAACCUCAGUGGGCAGCCAGACAGGCUGUGUUAAGGACCAUCGGCAGGAUGCUGCAGGAGAACAGAAGCAUCAGAGAGAGACUGGUCUCCCUCAGCCAUAGCAGUCAGGCUAUACAUUGAACUCAGUCUGAAGACUAGAUUACAAUCUGGGAAUGAUACAUAGAUUAUGGAACUUCUCUUUCCCUCUCAAACUCAGGAAUGGAAUAGUUUGAUUUGUUUCCCUUAAAUGUUAUGAUUUUGUUUUAACCAAGUUUAUGGACUACCUGGCAAAUGUGCUGAUUUGAGAUGGAAUGAAGAUGAGGUUAUUUAUGUUACCUGAAGCUAAACCUGUACUGUACAUCUUGAACAAUCUGUUCCUAUAGUUUCCUCUGGUUGAAGAAAUAGACUAUAAGUUGGUUUUGAUGGGAAACACAGAUUUUUACUGUUGUCAACUAUUUUGACUGUUGU